UACGUAGGGUGCGAGCGUUGUCCGGAAUUAUUGGGCGUAAAGGGCUCGUAGGCGGUUUGUCGCGUCGGGAGUGAAAACCAGGUGCUUAACACCUGGCUUGCUUUCGAUACGGGCAGACUAGAGGUAUGCAGGGGAGACUGGAAUUCCUGGUGUAGCGGUGAAAUGCGCAGAUAUCAGGAGGAACACCGGUGGCGAAGGCGGGUCUCUGGGCCGAUACUGACGCUGAGGAGCGAAAGCGUGGGGAGCGAACAGG
rnacentral:rRNA from 1 species